AGGCCCUACUCGUACUAGAUCUAGCUCUUUUGAUCACAACUCAUAUCUUGCCUAGAUAUAAACAACUGUACUAGAUUGGACUAGACAUUCUAAUCGGUUCUAUUUUCUUUUUUCAUUAUUCUCACACAUUCCAGUAGGCAGUAGGUACCAAACUGUGCUAUUAUUCACUGUAGAUCUAGAUCUUAACUUUUCUCUUAACUACCAAAGAAGUACACAAAGGAUGUUGAAAGGUACCCAAAGGGCUCUAAUUGCUACCAUUCAAUGUGUGGAAUCAAGUAUUUACCCAGAUACUGCCACAAUAUGUUCUUAUUGUUUUCAAAGGAGUUGGCACACAGUGCCAGAAGCUGUAUAAAUACAUUUAACAAUGUAUAUUUCAAGAAGAAAUGAUGCUUUCUUAUUCCUAAGAGUUUAUCAAUAGGAUGAAUGCCACAAAACUCACUUGUUAUGCCAGAAACUCUUCCUACGAAACUUCCAUACUAGAAUUUGUCCAGUGCCUGUGAUCCUCUGAGUUGAAGGAGAAUGUGCUCCAUAAUACCUACUAGGAGCUUGCUGAUAGCUGGAAGUUCAUGAAUACUAUGUUGUCCUUGAUUUGAUGAUUCUGAAAACUACCAUUUCUGAAGACUUGAGCAUUAUUUUUAUAAUUUAAAAAAAUCUUUUCAGGAAAUAUUGUGUUUAUAAUAUUAAGAAAGUGAAGAUAAUAUUGUUCUUACUAAUAUUAUUGACUUAUUAAAAUAGAAAGCACA